AGUGGUGCCGACGGAACAAGCCAUUAGCCACUCCGACCGAAAAAUAUUCAAUCCAACUAAGUGCGGAGCGACGUCGUCAGGGUUAGUGCUUCUUUUAAUCAAUUUUACAGUGUUCAAUAGGGGUGGGCAAAAUACCCAACCCGACCCGAUCCGAAAAAAUUCGGGUUCGGAUCGGUUCGGGUUGUUAUUGAAAUCCGAAUGGGUGAAAAAUUACAAACCCGAUCGGGCUGUGAUCGGGUCGGUAAAACCCGAUUCGAUCUGAAUAUCCGAUCGGGUCACACCAAAAAAAAAAAAAACCUGACUAAAUCUAUAAACACAUCACACAUGCACACACCACACACCACACACAAGGGCGCACACAAAGUCUCAACUAAAAAACAAUUAGCUAAAAAACAAUUGACAAAUAAAAAACAAAAUCAAAUUAUAACCCACGCACACAACCAUAUCUCGCUACUUUCACAGCCCUCAUCUUCACAGCCCUCUCAUCUUCACAGCCCUCUCAUCCUCACACUCAUGACUUCACGUGCACAAACACAUCCUCAUCCUCAUCCUCACGCUCAUGACUUUCACAGCCUGCAAACGCAGAGAAGAGAGCGGAGGAAGCACAGCCAGCGCAUGUAGCCACCUAACCCGCGACCGGAUCUACUGCUCCGCAACAUCCGUAGCUACCAGAUCUGCUGUUACCGGAUAUCUACCAAAUCUGCUGUUGCCGGAUAUCUACCGGAUCUGCUGCUACUAGAUCCGAUGCGCUGCUAUCGGGUCAGAUGCUGCUGGAUCUGCUGUUGCAGCCUCCACCAUCACCAGGAUCUGCUGUUGCAGCCUCCACCAUCACCAAGCUCCACCGCGAACUGGCAAUCUGAAUUCUUUUUUUUUUCUUGCUGUUUUGAUGGUAUAUAAUACUAUAUUAUAUAUUAUCUGUUAAUCGCUAAAUAUAUGUAUUGUUAAAUGUUAAUAAUAAAAUGAGGGAAAUUCUUGUAUGGAAAAUUUUGGAGCUUAAUUUAUUAAGUCCGUGGAAGCUUAAAUUAUAAGUAUGAAUUGAUUUUUUUUUUGUUUUGUUUUUAGUGAAUAGAUUAAGCACUAAAAUUAAAUAUUUUACUUUGAUCUGUGUAGUAGCUUCACUCGAUCCGAAUUAGCCCGAAUUUAAUCCGAUUAUUUGAC
rnacentral:lncRNA from 1 species